GUAUGUACUGUCAAGAAUUGAAUAAUGUUGGUAAACAAUCUUAAAAUAAUUAUAGUAAUUAUAAGUGUUACACAUGCGGGAAAAAUUGUUUGGGAAGUAAUUAGGACCUCAUGCACAAAGGUUGUCUCAUCUUCCUGGAAGUUGAAGAAAGUAUAUAAAACUCACAGGAUUCAGGGCUCCUCUGGCCAUUUCUCUUGACUACCUCCUGGACAGCUGGUUUGCCACCAUUUCUCCCAGAUGUCCUUCGGUGGGGGGUGGCACGCAGGAUGCUGCUCCUAUCCAUGUGACGUGCAGUGCCCACAGCCACUUGCUACCAGCUGCAAUGACCCUUGUGUUGUAUCCUGCGCCGCCUCCAGAGUCAUUAUAUUCCCCCCUCCCGUCGUCGUGACGUUCCCGGGGCCGAUCCUCAGCACCUGCCCACAGGAGACAGUGGUGGGAAGUUCUGCAGUCUCGCAGGGAUGUGCACCAGCCCCGCUGACGUCUCUGGGGGCAGAAGUCCUGCGCUCCGAGCCAUCAGCAGGGAGAUUCAUCCCCAGCUACCUGCCUCAGUGUGCCCCAAGGUGCUCCUAUGUGUUUUCUUCCCACUGGAUUCAUCCUUGCAAUAGGCCCAGCUACAGACGGUACCGAAGACCUGAUAGUGAGAGGGAAGAACACAUUCCAGAAAAGGAGAAACCAGAAACAGAAAAUACAAAUGCAGCAAAUGAAGAAAAAGAGACCUCAGAAGCAUAGCACAGCAGCACCAACCCCAACGAGCAUGUCCAAAGGCCUUGUGCAUUCCUAAUGCUUCUCUCAAGCAGAUUUACCUGUUUUCUUUAAAUUAUGCUUUACAUUAAGUUCGUGUUUUUUUUCCUCAAGUACAUUCUCAGGCCAACAGGCAAUUUGGCCAAAAAAUGCCCCCAAUUCUAAUUUGCAUUAUCAUGAAACAUACAUUAUUUCAUUCUCAGAAACAUUUUACUCUUUUUGCAUUGUUUUGCCAGAAAAAUGCAGGCAGCAGUUGUUUCAAGAUCAACACAAAGGUAGUCAGUUAAGACAUUAUAAACCCUUUCCCUGCUAAAGCUAGUUAGACUGGUCUUUGCACUUAAGAGAAUUAGUCACUUCACUUUUUCCUUUGAUAAAUAUGUGUACACAUAUAUUAUAUAAACAUAUGCCAUUUGUUUCUGCCUUUCAACCUCACUGCAGGAAAGCAGUCUAGUGGGAAACAAAUCCUGUAUUUAUAUUUUACUUUUAUUUAACAAAAAAAAAAUUGUUAAAUAAAAGUAAAUUUUUGUUGCAACCAACAAAAAACCACAAUUAUUUGGUGAUAUGUGUCACUGGCAUCUAGGAGAAGCCUGAGUGCAGCAUGAGAGUGACGGAAUCUGCAUCCCAAACUGUGUCACUCCAUCUGUUAUUUAUUCCAGAAGCCUUGUCCUGUCCUUUCCAUUCACAUUAAAGUUAUUCUGCAUUA